CUGACGUUUACCUUGAAAUUUUACUUACAUCCUGAACUAUUUUUUUUCCAAAAUUAUCCUUGACGUUACAAAUUUCAGCUCAACUCUGCCCCUCUCGUUAACAACCCUACCACCUAGACAAACAAUGUUGACAAGGCUGGACAAAUUUUGGUGAUAAGGCAUGAAAAGAGAAAUUUAGCUCCUAAUUAAAACAAAUUAAACAACUUAACUUUAUUUGAAGCCACUAAACUUGAUUUUACCAAGCAUACGAGAUCCAUGAAAAACUCAGAUCCAUUUUUUCUCUCUAAAGUUUAAUUUUCUUGCUAAAUUCAAAUCUAUUUUCUCUCUAAACCCAUUGUUGAUUCAACAACACAAUAUGCUAAACCCAAAUCCAUCUGCUCCCUAAAUUUUCCACUCCAACGAAUGGAUUUAACAACACAAUAUGCUAAUUAAUGGAGUACUAACUUCACCCACUUGUAUGAAGUACUAACACAAUCUGCUAAAUGCUCGCUUUAACAGACGACCAAUUGAGACGGAAAGGGAAAGUGAGGAUUAAGGAGAACUCUGUUUGUUAAAAGUUACAAUCUAAACCCAUAUCUAUUCUCUCUCAAAAGCUUUCUCUAAAGCUUUUCCGGUCGUAAUCUCUCACGUCGAAGGACAAAAAUGUGAAACAUAAACAUAAAAAUCAAACCCAAAAA
rnacentral:lncRNA from 1 species